UACAGAGGUCCCAAGCGUUGUUCGGAUUCACUGGGCGUAAAGGGUGCGUAGGUGGUCGGGUAAGUCGGAUGUGAAAGCUCGGAGCUCAACUCCGAAAUGGCAUUGGAAACUACCUGGCUAGAGGAUUGGAGGGGGGACUGGAAUACUUGGUGUAGCAGUGAAAUGCGUAGAUAUCAAGUGGAACACCAGUGGCGAAGGCGAGUCCCUGGACAAUUCCUGACACUGAGGCACGAAAGCUAGGGGAGCAAACAGG
rnacentral:rRNA from 1 species